CCUUCAAAAUUUUGGAUGCAAAACCUACGCUGAAAUAUUAUUUACCACUUUGAUGCAAUUUGGCCGAGUAGCAAUAAGAUCAUAUCUGGUGUUCUGUUCGAUAGCGUGCCAUCUGUAAGUAUCCAUCCACAAGCAAGUUGGGCCUAUUGGAUCAUGGAUUUAAAGACGUUGUCAUCGAAAUAAAACUAUCCAAUUUCUUCUUUGAUAUAGAGCUAGUUCACUCGUUGCCUAGACCUAUUUAGUUAAGGCUGUCUGUAAAAUUUACCAAACGCAUCAAUUGUGUCCCUGAUAACGUGCGUCGAUUUUGGAUUGUCAAAUAUGAUUACAGUAGAUCUGUUAUUAGCUUGCAGUUCUCCUUUGUUCUCAUGCGUAGAUGUGAUAGAAUCCUCCCAUUGCUAUAGCUUCUAACUGAAUUUAGGAACGUGAUUCGAUUAUAAAUUAUUUAUAAUAAUCGAUUAUUAAGGGAUGUAACGGAUUGUCAAUAUAAACAGACAGAUCUCACUAGUAUUUAUACAUUUGUGACACAUGUUACAAGACGUAGUUCUCCAUGAUAUACUGUACUAUUGCAAACACGUUAUUGAGAUUAGCGUUUGACGCUAAUCUGUCCUAUAAAAAAACUACAAAAACUGUAGAACAAACAAUAGCUAUAAGACAAUGUUUGGUACAUGAUAUUUCAUAUUCAUGAUUUGAGAUCAUUUAGAGACUAUGUGCAAAAAUAAAAAUUCAAAGAAUGUAUCCAUAAGUGAAAUUUGAUUAAAGAUGAGAGAUAAAAUUUAUGGUGAUAAUCGCAGAUUUUUUAAAACCAGGGAAGAACGUUCCAAGAUAAAAAAAUAAAUUCUACCACCGAUAAAGCAAGAUUAAAAGUUAAAUGAUUAAAAUAAAGAGCAGAAAAUCUGUAUGUGAAAGUAAAAACCGACAGAAAAGAUUUAUAUACAGUCUAAGGAGUUGGAGAUAUAGGUUGGUAGCGUUGUUUGCUAAGACCAAAUAAUCCAAAUCUCCUGCACAAAUAAAUUGAGAAUAAAAUAAUGAUAGUUAAAGCAACAGGAAUCAAACCCAAAUAAAGCCAUUUGUAGUUUCCAUUACCUAAAUCCGGAGAGGGUUUAGGUACCGAUGGUAAGCUGGCAAAGUCAUUAUUAAAGAAAGCAGUAAUCAAGGUCUUCAUUUCAUUAGGAUGAUCGUAUGGAACCAUGUGACUAGCUUCAACUAUGCGAGCAAAGGUCAGGUUCCGGGAACUAACAUAGGAGCCCGAUGGUUGAUCAGAAUAGCCCGGAAGAUAAAAUGGUUGAGCAGAUUGAUUUUGAAAACCAACAGCACCAUUCCACUCCAGUGAUCGGGUUAAUUUUUCGCCAGAUAAAUAAUUACAAAGAAAGUCAUUUUCGCCGUAAAACAACAAAAUAGGAACCGUAGAUACAAGGUCCUGGAUUAACUUAGAUGAGGACUCAAUCCCUUCACGAGCAUAUUGUAGGGCAACGUCGUCAUUACAUUCUUCCCAAUCAUGAACCUUUUCGAGGUU